GUGAAUCAUCAAAUUUUUGAACGCAAAUUGCACUUUCUAGUAUUCCGGAAAGUAUGCCUGUUCGAGGGUCAGUUACAUAAAAAUCGGCGUUGUUGCUGCUUUCCGUUGUGACGCGUCGGAAUUGAGUUGUCCUACCUUCGGAUAAGUGACUUAAAUUUCUGCAUGACUUUCGAAAGUUUGUAAAUUUCUUACGUACGCUUGAGAUAUCCAAUACGUAAUUAGGCUCGGUCAUUCCCAU
rnacentral:misc_RNA from 1 species